CGGAGGAAAAGAAACCAACAGGGAUUGCCUUAGUAGCGGCGAGUGAAGCGGCAAAAGCUCAAAUUUGAAAUCUGGCGCCUUCGGUGUCCGAGUUGUAAUUUGAAGAUUGUAACCUUGGGGUUGGCUCUUGUCUAUGUUUCUUGGAACAGGACGUCACAGAGGGUGAGAAUCCCGUGCGAUGAGAUGCCCAAUUCUAUGUAAGGUGCUUUCGAAGAGUCGAGUUGUUUGGGAAUGCAGCUCUAAGUGGGUGGUAAAUUCCAUCUAAAGCUAAAUAUUGGCGAGAGACCGAUAGCGAACAAGUACAGUGAUGGAAAGAUGAAAAGAACUUUGAAAAGAGAGUGAAAAAGUACGUGAAAUUGUUGAAAGGGAAGGGUUUGAGAUCAGACUCGAUAUUUUGUGAGCCUUGCCUUCGUGGCGGGGUGACCCGCAGCUUAUCGGGCCAGCAUCGGUUUGGGCGGUAGGAUAAUGGCGUAGGAAUGUGACUUUACUUCGGUGAAGUGUUAUAGCCUGCGUUGAUGCUGCCUGCCUAGACCGAGGACUGCGAUUUUAUCAAGGAUGCUGGCAUAAUGAUCCCAAACCGCCCGUCUUGAAACACGGACCA
rnacentral:rRNA from 1 species